CUGUCCUAAGUCAGGAGCCUUUAAUUCAGUGGUUGUCGUUUGUUUAUGUGUUACAUAUUUGUUUUUCGUUCAUUUUUUUUUAUAUAUAAAUAAGGCCGUUAGUUUUCUCGUUUGAAUUGUUUUACAUUGUCUUAUCGGGUCCUUUUAUAGCUGACUAUGCGGUAUGGGCUUUGCUCAUUGUUGAAGGCCUUACGGUGAUCUAUAGUUGUUAAUGUCUGUGUCAU
rnacentral:lncRNA from 1 species